rnacentral:misc_RNA from 1 species
CCGAGUUGACAAACUCCCUAAACCCUGUGAACAGUACCUAACCUUGUUGCCUCGGCGGAGCAGGCCCGGUCCUCCCAGGUACGGACCUCGGCCCUCGCAGAGGAGCCCGCCGGGUAAACAACUAUUGCUAUAUGUAGGCCUCUCUGAGUAUACCAUGAAUAAGUCA